UGGAAGGAUCUGUAAAGCUCAGGAGGGAUAGCGCCAAAGACGAUAAAAAAUAGAGCGGAACUUAACGACCAUCAAAUUUUGAGUUUGAAUGGUUAAUUCCCAUUCGUCUAAUGCGCUAUCCAUCCUGAGUUUCACGGAUUUUUCUU
rnacentral:pre_miRNA from 1 species